rnacentral:rRNA from 1 species
UACAGAGGGUGCAAGCGUUAAUCGGAAUUACUGGGCGUAAAGCGUGCGUAGACGGUUAUGUAAGUCAGAUGUGAAAGCCCCGGGCUCAACCUGGGAAUUGCAUUUGAGACUGCAUAGCUAGGGUGCGGAAGAGGGAAGCGGAAUUUCCGGUGUAGCGGUGAAAUGCGUAGAUAUCAGGAGGAAUACCGAUGGCGAAGGCAGGUCUCUGGGCUGACACUGACGCUCAUGCACGAAAGCGUGGGGAGCAAACAGG